AUUGAACGCUGGCGGCAGGCCUAACACAUGCAAGUCGAGCGAGCGGCGGACGGGUGAGCAAUGUCUGGGCAACUGCCUGAUGGAGGGGGAUAGCUACUGGAAACGGUAGCUAAUACCGCCUACCAUCAGCUGUGCCCAGAUGGGAAUAGCUAGUAGGAGGGGUAACGGAUCACCUAGGCGACGAACCCUAGCUGGUCUGAGAGGAUGACCAGCCACACUGGAACUGAGACACGGUCCAGACUCCUACGGGAGGCAGCAGUGGGGAAUAGUGCACAAUGGGCGCAAGCCUGAUGCAGCCAUGCCGCGUGUAUGAAGAAGGCCUUCGGGUUGUAAAGUACUUUCAGCGGGGAGGCGUUACCCGCAGAAUAAGCACCGGCUAACUCCGUGCCAGCAGCCGCGGUAAUUC
rnacentral:rRNA from 1 species